GCCGCGACCCGUUGCUGGGGACGUCGAAGGCCCGGGUGGACUGGUACCCCGACGCCGUGCUGCUUUAGUAGCAUGACGAAGGGGGAAACCUCCGGUGUCCUGGCUGCCCUGCGACGGUCGUGCAGAUGAGGGGCGAAUAAACGUCACUCUCGCGGCGUGCAAAAGGUCGGUGACCCACCCGACCCGUCUUGAAACACGGACCAAGGAGUCUAACAUGUGUGCGAGUCAUUGGGUGCACUAAACCCAGAGGCGUAAUGAAAGUGAAAGGUGGGCGUCCCGGGGUUCCCUCACUGAGGGGGUUCCGGUCGGCGCCUACCGGGGCCGAUCCUCGACAUGCCGUCGCUUCGCCGGCGUCUCUUCCCAUACCAAAGCGGGGCCGCCAAGACGGGGCUGCUGGCGCGGGGUGAGAACCUUUCCCUCGUGGCCUAGCCUCCGGUCCCGUGGGUACCCGGCGAGCGCGACAGUCCGGCUGCUGCUGUUGUCGGACCUGUUGAAGGCCAUGGCAGUAGUAGCCGCCUGUACGCAGGGGGGCGCAGGCCCGGGACUUGCCAUUUGACGCCGUCGCGUAAAUCUGUUGUUGGCCUCGCCGGCUCUGCUUGGGCUCUCGGUUGGCGGGCCGCGUGCCAGGCGGCGGGCUUUAGGAGGAGGGCAUACACUGUCCAAGUCCGGGUCCGUCCGUCCCGCGCGGUCUUUGCCUUCCG
rnacentral:rRNA from 1 species